AGCGAACGCUGGCGGCAGGCCUAACACAUGCAAGUCGGACGAACUCUUCGGAGUUAGUGGCGGACGGGUGAGUAACACGUGGGAACGUGCCUUUUGGUUCGGAAUAACUCAGGGAAACUUGUGCUAAUACCGAAUGUGCCCUUCGGGGGAAAGAUUUAUCGCCAUUAGAGCGGCCCGCGUCUGAUUAGCUAGUUGGUGAGGUAACGGCUCACCAAGGCGACGAUCAGUAGCUGGUCUGAGAGGAUGACCAGCCACACUGGGACUGAGACACGGCCCAGACUCCUACGGGAGGCAGCAGUGGGGAAUCUUGCGCAAUGGGCGAAAGCCUGACGCAGCCAUGCCGCGUGAAUGAUGAAGGUCUUAGGAUUGUAAAAUUCUUUCACCGGGGACGAUAAUGACGGUACCCGGAGAAGAAGCCCCGGCUAACUUCGU
rnacentral:rRNA from 1 species